rnacentral:lncRNA from 1 species
UUCUUCAGACCACAAAACAAUGGUCGUUGACAACCGCCUCAAGCACAACGAUAUUUGUUGUAAUAUUACAGUAGCUCUGGUCAGUGUGUAAUCCCUGACGUCAGAACUUAAUCGCCGGAGAGGAUUGCCUGAAAACGAUCGGUUUACUGACGAAAACAGAGCGGUUUUCCGGUGAUUAUAGGGAGAGAAAGAGGAACAGUUGUAGAGAGAGAAAGUGAACAGUGGAUCUCCAAAAAACCGUCAUCUCCGGCGACGAUUAAACAGCCGAGAUCGGAGGAACCGCGUCGUCGCUGCCGGUGAAUGUGCCGGACUGGUUGAAGAUGAUUGUAGUGCCGGUUAACCGGUGAGAUGAAUCGCCGGAGGAAGGUUUCCAGAAAAAAAUGUUGGAGAUCAAAGUGGAUUCUCGUGCAUGAGAAGAGAGCAAUCGUGCUGAUAACGUGAUAUAAACCAAUUGGAAUUCUCUAUUAGAUUGCAAGUGAUUGUAUUAAAUCUUCUGGAAAACCAACAUCAAAAUAACAAUAUACAAGAGUAUUAUAUAAUACAUGCAGUUACAAGAUGUUAACUGCCAAGGCAGUUACAUGGGGGAAACGUACAAGGUGUUAACUGCCAAGGCAGUUACAUGGGGAAAACGUAUAUCUGGUUUUAUAACAUUAACAACUUAAUACUAACAAAUAUUUUAUUGUUUACUUAGAUAAUGAUUAUUUACUUUUAACUUAUCUAAAAUAUAUAGUUAGUUAUUAGUAACAACUCUACUUAUAAUAAACAAUUUCAAAUAAUGUCAAUGUGACAACAUCUUCUUAUUCUUUAAAAGGAUUUUUUACUAUAUGUUAAACAUCUAUUAAAUAAAUUACAAUUUUAUAUUAUAAGAAUAAAAAUGGUAAAGAAUAGGUUAAUCCGAUAUUUUUGAAAACCGGUUUACUUCCAUGCUUUGAAAACGAUUUUAGUGUUAUUAGACCCGUGUAAUAAAGGGGUUUACGGAUAAAAUAUCUUCAUAAUAAUUUUGAUUCAAGUUUCACCGGAUGUCCUAAAUGAAGUUAUAUUUUUAGGCUUUCCAAACCACUCAUAUUAUCCGGAAGUAAUAUUGGCACUUAAACGUUUAUCCCUAGAUUUCGUUUAAUACCGCCAAAUAGAAGGAUUCUGUUUAAAUUGAAAAGAAGACAGUUUCCUCUCGCCCUAUGUUUUGCCAUGACGAUAAAUAAAAGUAUAGGACAGUUUUUAUGUAAAGUUGGUUUGUUUCUAAAAGAAUCGGUUUUUACACAUGACCAACUGUUGCGUCAUCUAUGGUAAAAAAUUCACUUAUGUAAAUUUUUGUAGAGAAUAUGAAUUUAAAUAAUU